rnacentral:rRNA from 1 species
CCUACGGGCGGCUGCAGUGGGGAAUUUUGGACAAUGGGCGAAAGCCUGAUCCAGCCAUGCCGCGUGAGUGAAGAAGGCCUUCGGGUUGUAAAGCUCUUUCAGACGGAAAGAAAUCGGCAGGGUAAAUAAUCCUGUCGGAUGACGGUACCGUAAGAAGAAGCACCGGCUAACUACGUGCCAGCAGCCGCGGUAAUACGUAGGGUGCGAGCGUUAAUCGGAAUUACUGGGCGUAAAGCGUGCGCAGGCGGUUGUGCAAGACAGAUGUGAAAUCCCCG